rnacentral:rRNA from 1 species
AGUGAACGCUGGCGGUAGGCCUAACACAUGCAAGUCGAACGGCAGCACAGUAAGAGCUUGCUCUUACGGGUGGCGAGUGGCGGACGGGUGAGGAAUACAUCGGAAUCUACUUUUUCGUGGGGGAUAACGUAGGGAAACUUACGCUAAUACCGCAUACGACCUACGGGUGAAAGCAGGGGAUCUUCGGACCUUGCGCGAUUGAAUGAGCCGAUGUCGGAUUAGCUAGUUGGCGGGGUAAAGGCCCACCAAGGCGCCGAUCCGUAGCUGGUCUGAGAGGAGGAUCGGCCACACGAGAACUUAGACACGGUCCAGACGCCUACGGGAGGCAGCAGUGGGGAAUAUUGGACAAUGGUCGCAAGCCUGGUCCAGCCAUACCGCGUGGGUGAAGGAGGCCGUCGGGUUGGAAAGCCCUUUUGUGGGGAAAGAAAAGCAGCAGGUUAAGACCCCGCGGUUCUGACGGUACCCAGAGAAUAAGCACCGGCUAACUUCGUG